rnacentral:rRNA from 1 species
AUUGAACGCUGGCGGCAGGCCUAACACAUGCAAGUCGAGCGAGCGGCGGACGGGUGUGUAAUGUAUGGGGCUCUGCCCGAUAGAGGGGGAUAACUACUGGAAACGGUGGCUAAUACCGAAUACUUUCGGAUGAACCCAUGUGGGAUUAGCUAGUAGGUGGGGUAAAGGCUCACCUCGGCGACGAUCUCUAGCUGGUCUGAGAGGAUGAUCGGCCACACUGGGACUGAGACACGGCCCAGACUCCUACGGGAGGCAGCAGUGGGGAAUAUUGCGCAAUGGGCGAAAGCCUGAUGCAGCCAUGCCGCGUGAAUGAAGAAGGCCUUAGGGUUGUAAAGUACUUUCAGCGGGGAAGCGUUACCCGCAGAAGAAGCACCGGCUAACUCCGUGCCAGCAGCCGCGGUAAUUC